UUUUUUUUUUUGCCUUCUCCAUAGCUCUGGCAAAACUAGAGCUGCAGAAGUUCUAGCUGGGGAGGUCAUCUGCUCAGGUGUCCACAUGUCAGUUUCAGGGGAGGGUUCUUGUUGGUCACAUUUGGCCCCUUGCUGUUGUUGGGGAGAGGGUAGGGCCCCUCCUGUAACUAGGUGGGGAGGGGUGCCCUAGAAGCAGUUAGCAGAAGAGCAGAUGGAAAGAUUGCCCCAUUAUCUCCCACAUCUGGCUACUUCCAAGAGCCCAUGAGGAGUCUGGGCCAGCCGCUAGCCCAGCCCAGGGCCUGGCUCCGUGAUCUCCAGCAUCGGGUGUCGCUCUUACAAGCCAGGACUGGGAGGCUGGAUGCCUGGCCAAGUCACAUUCCUUUUUGGGCCUCAGUGUGGCUGUCCGUGAAAUGGGAGCAAAUCUCUGACAAUCAGCUAGUAUUAGGUGAGCUAAGAAGCCAAGUGGCCACUUGUUCUCAUCAGCGAGUCCAGACGCACAGGCAUUUGCAUGAGCUCUAUGAUAACUUCCCUGGCAGCUUUUGGUAAGGAAUUCCGUAAGAAGCUACUUGGGAGGCUGAGGCAGGUUGAGCCCAGGAGCUUGAAGUUACAGUGAGCCAUGAUUGUGCCACUGCAUUCCAGCCUGGGCAACAGAGCGAGACUCUGUCUCUUAAAAAAAAAAAUUCCAUAAAAGUUAUAUACACACGUGUGCACAUGCGUGUGUGUGUGUGACAUCUCUUCCUAGUGAUGUUCCCCCUGACCUGGCCAACAGCCCUGAUUCUGUCCUCCAAACCUGAUGCUGGCUGGCUUCCAAUAGCCUGGCUCAUUGCUAUUCUACACCAGCCCCUCUCUGCCCUCAAUUCAGCCCCUCCACUGCAGUGUCAGAAUUGAGCCUCAAAAUGCAGCCUGCUACAGCCUCUGCAGGGGUCUCCAUGCUUCCAAGCCUGCUUGAAACUUUCUUUAUGGCAGGCAUGGGGAGGGGGGAGGGCAGGCCGUGUGUGGCUGUCACCAGACCUGGCUGCCUUGGGCCUGGCUGCUUUGGGCCGAGCCUUUGCAUCCCUAGUGGGUCCUCACGGCUGCCCAUAAACCCAGCAGGGUAAAAUUCUUCGUUUUGUCAUACUGAGCAGCCAGCAUGCUUAACCAGCAGGCAGGGAAGGGUCUGGCAAGCCCACCUCCCCUGCUGUGUGUGGGAUGGAGUGGGGUUGUCUAGAGCCAGGAGACCUGAGCUUUGGUUUACAUGAGGCCUUGAGCAAAGCAGUUCUUAUUUUUGAGGUUGCCCAUCAGUAAAAUGAGAGGCUGAAUUAACAGGACCAGACUAUUCCAGCACCCUUGACAGACACAUCACCACCAGUUGAUGGAUUGUGAGGAAUGCUCUAUGUUCAGGCAGAUCAUGCAUUUUUCCAAGCCUCAGUUUUCUUAUCUGUUAGCAUGAUCCUCACAAGGAUGGGGCAGGGCUGCAAUGAAGACAGGGACAGGGAUGGCCGAGCCCAAAGGCCUUGGUCACCAGCAUAGCCCAAGCGUCUGCUAGGUGAUGCACUAAGCUGCCCAGCACUCUGCCAGUUCUACCCUCUCUGUGUCCCCUGACCAGGAGAAGGCAGCUGUUGACUCAAGGGAACAAGUUCCCUGGGGCUCAGAGGAGCUGGCAGAGAGGUUAAUUGGGGUGUGGGGCCACCUGCUGGUCACCUGGGUGAGUAUUCAGUGGGCACCUACUGUGUGCCAUAGCCUGAAGGAGCUGUGGGGCAGGGGAGAGACCACAGCACCAUAAUGAAUAGCUGACACUUAUUGAGUGCCUACUGUGUGCCAGGACUGUGCUAAAGCUUUACAUGGAUCAUCUCACUUAGUCCUCACUUUCUCAUCUUACAGGUAGAGAAACUGAGUCCCAAGCUCUUAGCCGCUGCUCUCUGUGCUAGAGGAGGUCAAAGGAAGGAAAUGCUGUUUUUGGCUAGGGGCAAUCACAGAAGACUUCCAAAAGGUGGUGACAAUAUGAACUCAAAGGGAAAGCCAGAUUUGGAUAGACAAACAUUUAGGGACUUAGCUGGCAGGUACACGGGGAGGCAAGGCAUUUUGUGUGAAGAAUGGAAAACAAGUCUAUUUACUGGGUGAGAGGCAGCCAUGGCACAGGGGUCUCUCAUUUCCUUGUCCCAUCUCCUGUAGGAAGUCAGAAUGGGGUGCUCAGGGAUGAGACAAUGGGCCCCUGGUAAUAGCUCCUCUCUCUUAGAGCCCCCAGGGUUCUCCCAUGGGUAGUGCAUUCCCCCUCCACAUGUGCACCUCUGGCUCCUCUGGAGAUACACUCAACCAAUGUGUCAGACAAUCUAUCCAUCCCCUCUUACUGCUCCAGCAUUUCUGGUUGAUUUCAGAGUUGGCUGUUAGAGUUGGGGCCAGAUCUUUUCACAUUGGACUCCCUGAACCCCCCAGGAUUUGGUGAAGGAGUCCUAGGACCCUCCACUUUUGCUUCCAACACAGCUAUUUUAUAGAUUGGUGUGCUGAGAUUUAAUUUGAACAAGUUUACAUGCAUUAAAAAAGUUUAUGGAGCACUGA
ensembl:lncRNA novel transcript